rnacentral:miRNA from 1 species
UUUUGUUGUUGUUGUUUUGGAACAGGGUCUCUCUGGGUUGUUCUGACUGUGCUGAAACUCACCAGGUAGACCAGACUGUCCUCAGAGUCACAGAGAUA